GCCAGGCUCGGUAGCACAUGCCUGUAGUUCUAGCUACUCAGGAGUCUGAGGCGGGAGGAUCCCUUGAGUCCAGGAGUUUGGGGGCUGAAGUGGGCUAGGUCUGGAAUCAAUAUGGUGACCUCCCGGAAGCAGGGGACCACCAGGUUGCCCAAGGAGGGAUGAACAGGCCCAGGUUGGAAACAGAGCUGGUCAAAACUCCCGUGCUGAUCAGUAGUGGGAUCACGCCUGUGAAUAGCCCUGUGCUCCAUCCUGGACAACAUUGCAAGACACUGUCUCU
rnacentral:SRP_RNA from 1 species